CCGGCGCACGGGUGAGUAACACGUAUGCAAUCCACCUGUAACAGGGGGAUAACCCGGAGAAAUCCGGACUAAUACCCCAUAAUAUGGGCGCUCCGCAUGGAGAGUUCAUUAAAGAGAGCAAUUUUGGUUACAGACGAGCAUGCGCUCCAUUAGCCAGUUGGCGGGGUAACGGCCCACCAAGGCGACGAUGGAUAGGGGUUCUGAGAGGAAGGCCCCCACAUUGGAACUGAGACACGGUCCAA
rnacentral:rRNA from 1 species